rnacentral:rRNA from 1 species
GGGCACCCNGAUCAGCCAUUCCGCGGUGAGUGAAGAAGGCCUUCGGGUUUGUAAAGCUCUUUCAGCCGGAANGAAAUNGUGUGGANUAAUACNCUGUGUGUAAUGACGGUACCGGAAGAAGAAGCACCGGCUAACUACGUGCCAGCAGCCCGCGGUAAUG